rnacentral:rRNA from 1 species
CAAUAGCGUAUAUUAAAGUUGUUGCAGUUAAAAAGCUCGUAGUUGGAUUUCUGGUGGGAGCGAUCGAUCUGGCGCUUAGCGCGAGUACUUGCAUCGUCUCCGGCCAUCCUUGGGGAGAGUCUGUCUGGCAUUAGGUUGUCGGGCAGAGGAUCCUCAUCGUUUACUGUGAAAAAAUUAGAGUGUUCAAAGCAGGCUUAUGCCGUUGAAUAUAUUAGCAUGGAAUAAUAAGAUAGGACUUUGGUACUAUUUUGUUGGUUUGCGCACCAAAGUAAUGAUUAAUAGGGACAGUUGGGGGUAUUCGUAUUCCGUUGUCAGAGGUGAAAUUCUUGGAUUUACGGAAGACGAACUACUGCGAAAGCAUUUACCAAGGAUGUUUUCAUUAA